UAAAAUAAGCUCCCACCUACUCCCUCAUUUUUUCAAACUUAACAUCACAUACCCUCAAAGACCUCUUGCACACUUCACACCAUUGGACAAAUUCAAAGUUUACUUCAGCUAAAAUCUUCUUUCUUUCGUUCACACAAAUUAUCCUUGCAAGAAAAAGAACUCAAGCUUAAGAGAUUACAACAUCCAAAACUAUUCAAGGCUUUGUGACCAGGGGGAUUAGCGCUGCUUUCCCAAGACAGGUUUAUAUGUGAUUAUGAUCUUCAGGCUUUGCCUAACCAGGUUGGCUGGCCGGUGCUGACGGGACGGAGCUGAGACUAGAGAUAAAUUCCUAUGUUAGACUUCCGCUGUAGCAAUUACUCUUAUACAUCUUUUGUUUUCUCAACUUAAGAUGACUUCAUUUGAGCUUCAAUUUAAAAUUUAUAGUUUUAUGUUAAUGAACGUCGGUUGUCAGAAGCAUGAAACAAAACUUGUGAUCCAAAGGGGCCUAGCCUGACUUUCUAUCCUAUUUCGGGUUUUAACAAGGUUGUUCCUUGUUUA